UGAUAGCAAUCGCAGAGGGAAUGGUGAAGACACGUGGAGUUACAUAACUUCCAAUUUUUCGCUAAUUAUCUAAUUAUCUAAUUAUUAAAUUAUCUAAUCAUCCACUGUUUAUUUGAAUUAAUAAAUCCGAAGAGUGACGUUAGCUGAACUACCCGAGGGAAAAGUGCAAAUAAAUUGAAAUUCUUGAAAGAAGCAAAGGGAUAGGAGUACUGGAAAAUCUUAAUACAGCCAAGCCGGCCAACCAAUCUACGGUAUCAACUACUGAAACAACAAAGCUGGCCGUUUGGGAGUUAGUGCAGUGCACAUCCACGGCGGCAAAGUGAAGGCUGAACCGUUCACGUUGGGCUAGCUCAAUAUCGGAAAUCAUUUACGGCUCGUGAAA